AUUGAACGCUGGCGGCAGGCCUAACACAUGCAAGUCGAGCGAGCGGCGGACGGGUGAGUAAUGUAUGGGGACUGCCAGAAAGAGGGGGAUAACUACUGGAAACGGUGGCUAAUACCGCAUACUGUCGGAAAACCCAUAUGGGAUUAGCUGGUAGGUACGGUAAUGGCUUACCUAGGCGACGAUCACUAGCUGGUCUGAGAGGAUGUUCAGCCACACUGGUACUGAGACACGGCCCAGACUCCUACGGAGGCAGCAGUGGGGAAUAUUGCACAAUGGGCGCAAGCCUGAUGCAGCCAUGCCGCUUGUAUGAAGAAGGCCCUAGGGUUGUAAAGUACUUUCAGUCGGGAGGCGUUACCGACAGAAUAAGCACCGGCGAACUCCGUGCCAGCCGCCGCGGUAAUAC
rnacentral:rRNA from 1 species